UACGUAGGGUGCAAGCGUUGUCCGGAAUUAUUGGGCGUAAAGAGCUCGUAGGCGGUUUGUCGCGCCUGCUGUGAAAACUCGGGGCUUAACCCCGGGCCUGCAGUGGGUACGGGCAGACUAGAGUGCGGUAGGGGAGACUGGAAUUCCUGGUGUAGCGGUGAAAUGCGCAGAUAUCAGGAGGAACACCGGUGGCGAAGGCGGGUCUCUGGGCCGUAACUGACGCUGAGGAGCGAAAGCGUGGGGAGCGAACAGG
rnacentral:rRNA from 1 species